CGCCUGGCUCCUUGUAUGCCA
rnacentral:miRNA from 1 species